GGACUGUACGGAUCACUGACGAGGAUGGAGUACCUCUGGUUCUGCUGCUCGUUUUCAGCAGUACAGUCAGGUUGAGGUGGGUUUCCCCGCGCUGCGGCCCGUUGUCUUCUACUUCUUUGUGUGUCAUACCUUCUCAGAAGACCAGCCCCGCUGUCUGGCGCCAGUGGCCUCACCCCGCGAGGACUUUAGCGCUAAUGGCACAGAAAAGAAGAGGUGUCCGUCUGUGUGUGACAGCACAGACGUGUAGCUGAUUGGCCGGUUUUGGCCGUGUAGAUUGACGACCAAAUCGUUAUCAGUUUUAUACUUUUUGCUUUACUAGCAUGUGUGAAUCAAGAUUGAGACGACAGUAUUUUCAGAUACUUUUCAAUCCUUUUUCAACCUUUCCUACCUUUCCUAAGCUGUUUUCAGACCUCGAGGAGAUGUUACGUUCUCAAAGGUACAUGGAGCAGGAAGAAUGCUGUUUUUCUGUUGGUGAAGUCAACAUGUAACCUGAGGUUUGAAGGGUCUGUAAUGUUCCCAGAUGUCCUCAUAUGUUCAGAGGCCAGGAAUCGUGGGAGGUGUACAACAGUACCCCUUUAACUGGAAUCAACUGUGAUGAUUUUAAAAAGGUUACCGACUGAAUCAAACUGCGUGGAUGAAUUCAUCUUCUGAGCCAAUAUCGUGUGUUUGUGUGUAAAUAGGAGAUUUUGUCGUUGAGUGAACUUCUAGUUAUUCUAAUGUCAGAUGCCUUGUGUGAAUAAACCAUCUGUCAAAAGGAA
ensembl:lncRNA